GCGAAUGUAGCCAAGUGGAUUAAGGUAGUGGAUUGUGAAUCCACCAUGCGCGGGUUCAAUUCCUGUCAUUCACC
rnacentral:tRNA from 1 species